AAAGUCCCCUUCGGGGGAUAAGUAGAGUGGCGUCCGGGUGAGUAACACGUAGGUAAUCUACCUUCGGGUGGGGAAUAACCCAGGGAAACUUGGGCUAAUACCGCAUAAUGCAGCGGCACCACAUGGUGACAGUUGUUAAAGCGGGGGAUCUUCGGAUCUCGCGCCUGAAGAGGAGCCUGCGGCAGAUUAGCUAGUUGGUAAGGUAACGGCUUACCAAGGCGACGAUCUGUAGCCGGCCUGAGAGGGCGGUCGGCCACACUGACACUGACAUACGGGUCAGACUCCUACGGGAGGCAGCAGUCGGGAAUUUUGGGCAAUGGGCGAAAGCCUGACCCAGCAACGCCGCGUGAAGGAUGAAAUCCCUCGGGAUGUAAACUUCGCAAGAAUGGGAAGAAUUAGUAGGGGUUAAUACCCCCUAUGAUGACGGUACCAUUUGUAAGCUCCGGCUAACUCCGUGCCAGCAGCCGCGGUAAUACGGGGGGAGCAAGCGUUGUUCGGAUUUACUGGGCGUAAAGGGCGCGUAGGCGGUCAGCACAAGUCAGUUGUGAAAUCUCCGGGCUUAACUCGGAAAGGUCAACUGAUACUGUGCGACUAGAGAGCAGAAGGGGCAACUGGAAUUCUCGGUGUAGCGGUGAAAUGCGUAGAUAUCGAGAGGAACACCUGCGGCGAAGGCGGGUUGCUGGGCUGACACUGACGCUGAUGCCCGAAAGCCAGGGGAGCGAACGGGAUUAGGUACCCCGGUAGUCCUGGCCUUAAACGAUGGAUGCUUGGUGUCUGGAGUUUUAUAGUCUCCGGGUGCCGUAGCUAACGCGUUAAGCAUCCCGCCUGGGGAGUAC
rnacentral:rRNA from 1 species